AUGCUUACUUUGUCAGCAUAUAUAAUAAAGUUGGAACAAUACAGACAUUAGCAUGGCUCCUGUGCAAGGAUAACACUCAAAUUCAUCAAGAGUUCUAUAUUUUU